rnacentral:lncRNA from 1 species
UUUAUCCUAAAAUCUUUUUGUUAGUAACCCAAAAAGGGGCAGCUUCAUGUGUAUCCAUUAACAUCUUGACAACAAUACAACACCACAAAAUACAAUGCUUGCUGACAAUAUAGCCAUGGAACUUUAAAUUAUAUAAUAUUAAUAUUUAGACAUUUAUUACAUUUAAAAAUACCACAAAACAAAAACACCCUACAACAACAAGCCAAUGCCUUUGCACCAUGUGGAAGACAAUGAUAAACAGAAUAUUAUAUUAUUUAAACUGUAGAAAUAUAAUAUUUGAUAUUGUAUUUCGUAAUAAAGAUUACAACCUAUUUAUAUAUAAAAGACGGUAUCUAAACAGGAAGGAAAAUAAAAUUUAUGAUUAUACAAUCCCUAAGAUUAAGGGACUAACCCAUCUAUUAAUAUUUAUUUCCUAUAUUAAUAUAUUUACUUCCUAUAAUUUAUAACACUCCCCUCAAGUUGGAGCAUAAAUGUUAAUCAUGCUCAACUUGUUAUAUAUAUAAUCAACUCGUUCCAUGCAACUUAGCAGACACCGAAUUUGUAAACCCAACUUCUUCCAAUAAUUGACGUACCCACAAAACUUCACAAACGGUUUUUGCCAUGACUGGACAUUCAAAUUCAACACUAGAACGGGAGACCACAUUUUCUUAGCUUGGUAAAACGCUUUACACACAUCAUAAAUACGAGAAGUAUUCCCUUUGCUAGAAUAUAGAAAUUCCAAAUACUGCAUUAAUUCUUUAACAAAUUCAGAAUGAUUAAUAAAACUAAUCACUUUACUGUGAAUAGAAUUUCGAAUCCGUGAACAAUACUCGUGACUCUUGAACAGUACCUGAUGAACAGUACUCGUGAACAGUACUUGAUGAACAGAGCCCUAAGUCUCCAAAUGUUACCCUUUAUGGAUAACCCAAAUGAUCAGAGUCCUAAAUCUUUAAAUAUUACCCUUUAUGAGUAAUCCAAAUGAAUAGAGUCCUAAGUCUCCAAAUAUUACCCUUUAUGAGUAACCCAAAUGAACAGAGCCCUAAGUCUCCAAACGUUACCCUUUAUGAGUAACCCAAAUGAAUAGAGUCCUAAGUCUCCAAACGUUACUCUUUAUGAGUAACCCAAAUGAAUAGAACCCUAAGUCUCCAAACGUUACCCUUUAUGAGUAACCCAAAUGAACGGAGUCCUAAGUCUCCAAAUGUUACCUUUUAUGGGUAACCCAAAUAAACAGAGUCCUAAAUCUCCAAAAGUUACUCUUUAUGGAUAGCCCAAAUGAAUAGUAUCAAAAAGACGCAUCCACCUAACACCCAAACGGAAAACAAACCACAAAUCUGACAAAAGGGCUGCAAGACGACUUUGGCAUCCUCUUUAGGUGAACGGUGAGAGACAAAUAUUAUCCUAGAUGGAUAACACAAAAGAACAGGAGUCCUGAGUAUCCAAAAAGUUAAAACUUGACGAGAGAGAAAAAAAUCUCUACAAACCUUGCUCUGAUACCAUAUAGAAAUAUAAUAUUUGAUAUUGUAUUUCGUAAUAAAGAUUACAACCUAUUUAUAUAUAAAAGACGGUAUCUAAACAGGAAGGAAAAUAAAGUCUAUGAUUAUACAAUCCCUAAGAUUAAGGGACUAACCCAUCUAUCAAUAUUUAUUUCCUAUAUUAAUAUAUUUACUUCCUAUAAUCUAUAAUAUAAACAAAUUAUAAUUUCUUUUAUCAUUAUUAAUUACUUAGAAAAUAAGUAAAAUUUUUUUUAUUCAAUUCCGUUGGUUGACUUUUUCUUUCAACUAAUCUUUAGAAUUAAAAGGCUCAGUGGGCUAUAGUAUUAGAUGAACACAAAUAUGAAAUUAAAAAAUAAAUAUUGUCCAACCCUAAUUACCAUUAGAGGAAAGCCCAACUCAGAGAAGCAUAUGGACAACAAGCACCGCCUGUGACUGCCCAUAAACACUGCUAGCAAGAAAUAAUUGUGUCGAAGCCGAAGAUUCAGCAGCGCCAAUGGUAAAGGAAACCCAUGUAUCUCCAAAAAAAAAUCAGAACAGUGAGAAUCAUGAACAACACAAAUGUUACAAAGACAAUCAUGAACAACGUUUUUGUUCCUUUAUUUAUAUUAUCUCUCUAAUUUACCCAGAAAAAUUAGGUGUAGUUUGGACAAAAACAAAGUCACCACGUUGAUGCCUAAUUUGGG